CUGUAAACAGCCCCACGCACAGCCGAGCUGGUGAAAGCAAGCUGAAGUUUCAACCUCUCUGCUCUUGUUGAUAGAGAUCAAGCUUUCCAUCACGUCUGAUCUGAACAGUCUCUACUGGCUCCAUGGACACCAGGCAAGAGGGCCCUCAUUGAGGUCUGACUCGAAAAAGCACACGAAAAGCAAAGGGUGGCGAUCGUCCCGGAGUCUCAGGUGACCUGCACCCCUCUACCUGCAGCUUGUGGCUGGUGGGACACACCCUGGAGCAAAAGCCCUGGUAUGCAGAGAAGAUCCUCAGGCAUUAGCUCCCGGAGUUUGGGCCCCGCUGUGCUGAGACUGCACCGUGGCACCCACUCUUUCAAGCCCACUUCUGCCUGAAGACAGAAAUCAAGUCUAGGAAUUCACAACAAAUACACAUUUCCGUC
ensembl:lncRNA